UGGCUUCCAUUAGCAAUAUGUUUCCUUUCCCAAAUAUGCAAAUAGUGGCUUUGUUUGCUCAAUUUUGUGAGUGCUUUGGAAUUUAAAUGAUUGUAUAACUCAAGAAGAUUACUUUUCUAUGUUGCUCAAGCUGUGCCUGCCAACUUGUAACUUAAUAAAUACAGGAAAUCCUCAGAGAAGGUGAUAUUUUCAGGAAAAAGACAAAUGCCCUCAUAGGAGUGGGGCCUGUGUACAGCAGCUACCUCUCCCAGGUCCUCUCACUUGCCUGCCCCGCGUCCUGGUUGCAUGGCCGCACCUGUGUGUGUGCAGAGGUCUGUGUCCCAUCCUCUGCACCUCCUUUCCGGGGGCCUGGGGAGCCCCACGUGUUGCCAAGAUCUUGGUGCAAUAAAAUACUCCGGUUUUGUGA
rnacentral:lncRNA from 1 species